AUUGAACGCUGGCAGAAUGCUUUACACAUGCAAGUCGAACGGCAGCACGGACUUCGGUCUGGUGGCGAGUGGCGAACGGGUGAGUAAUACAUCGGAACGUGCCCAGUCGUGGGGGAUAACGUAGCGAAAGCUACGCUAAUACCGCAUACGAUCUACGGAUGAAAGCGGGGGAUCGCAAGACCUCGCGCGAUUGGAGCGGCCGAUGGCAGAUUAGGUAGUUGGUGGGGUAAAGGCUCACCAAGCCGACGAUCUGUAGCUGGUCUGAGAGGACGACCAGCCACACUGGGACUGAGACACGGCCCAGACUCCUACGGGAGGCAGCAGUGGGGAAUUUUGGACAAUGGGCGCAAGCCUGAUCCAGCCAUUCCGCGUGCAGGAUGAAGGCCCUCGGGUUGUAAACUGCUUUUGUACGGAACGAAAAGGCUCUGGUUAAUACCUGGGGCUCAUGACGGUACCGUAAGAAUAAGCACCGGCUAACUACGUG
rnacentral:rRNA from 1 species